rnacentral:rRNA from 1 species
UACGGGGGGGGGCAAGCGUUGUUCGGAAUUACUGGGCGUAAAGGGCUCGUAGGCGGCCAACUAAGUCGGAUGUGAAAUCCCCAGGCUUAACCUGGGAACUGCAUCCGAUACUGGAUGGCUUGAAUUCGGGAGAGGGAUGCAGAAUUCCAGGUGUAGCGGUGAAAUGCGUAGAUAUCUGGAGGAAUACCGGUGGCGAAGGCGGCAUCCUGGACCGACAUUGACGCUGAGUGAGCGAAAAGCUAGGGGGAGCAAACGGGG